AGCAGCAUGGCGCAGUUGGAAGCGCGCGGGGCCCAUAUGCCAUGUCACCCCGAGGUCACUCGAUCGAAACGAGUUGCUGCUA
rnacentral:tRNA from 1 species